rnacentral:rRNA from 1 species
CCUACGUGCGGCAGCAGUGGGGAAUAUUGGACAAUGGGCGAAAGCCUGAUCCAGCCAUGCCGCGUGUGUGAAGAAGGCCUUCGGGUUGUAAAGCACUUUCAGUGGGGAAGAAAGCCUUGGGGCUAAUACCCUCGAGGAAGGACAUCACCCACAGAAGAAGCACCGGCUAACUCCGUGCCAGCAGCCGCGGUAAUACGGAGGGUGCGAGCGUUAAUCGGAAUUACUGGGCGUAAAGCGCGCGUAGGCGGUCUGAUAAGCCGGUUGUGAAAGCCCCGGGCUCAACCUGGGAACGGCAUCCGGAACUGUCAGGCUAGAGUGCAGGAGAGGAAGGUAGAAUUCCCGGUGUAGCGGUGAAAUGCGUAGAGAUCGGGAGGAAUACCAGUGGCGAAGGCGGCCUUCUGGACUGACACUGACGCUGAGGUGCGAAAGCGUGGGUAGCAAACAGGAUUAGAUACCCUUGUAGUC